rnacentral:rRNA from 1 species
GAUGAACGCUGGCGGCGUGCUUAACACAUGCAAGUCGAACGAAGCACUUUACUACGAUUUCUUCGGAAUGACGGUUUUGUGACUGAGUGGCGGACGGGUGAGUAACGCGUGGAUAACCUGCCUCAUACAGGGGGAUAACAGCCGGAAACGGCUGCUAAUACCGCAUAAGCGCACGGUACCGCAUGGUACAGUGUGAAAAACUCCGGUGGUAUGGGAUGGAUCCGCGUCUGAUUAGCCAGUUGGCGGGGUAACGGCCCACCAAAGCGACGAUCAGUAGCCGACCUGAGAGGGUGACCGGCCACAUUGGGACUGAGACACGGCCCAAACUCCUACGGGAGGCAGCAGUGGGGAAUAUUGCACAAUGGGGGAAACCCUGAUGCAGCGACGCCGCGUGAGCGAAGAAGUAUUUCGGUAUGUAAAGCUCUAUCAGCAGGGAAGAAGAAAUGACGGUACCUGACUAAGAAGCCCCGGNUAACUACGUG